rnacentral:rRNA from 1 species
AGCUAACGCGUUAAAUCGACCGCCUGGGGAGUACGGCCGCAAGGUUAAAACUCAAAUGAAUUGACGGGGGCCCGCACAAGCGGUGGAGCAUGUGGUUUAAUUCGAUGCAACGCGAAGAACCUUACCUACUCUUGACAUCCAGAGAACUUUCCAGAGAUGGAUUGGUGCCUUCGGGAACUCUGAGACAGGUGCUGCAUGGCUGUCGUCAGCUCGUGUUGUGAAAUGUUGGGUUAAGUCCCGCAACGAGCGCAACCCUUAUCCUUUGUUGCCAGCGGUUCGGCCGGGAACUCAAAGGAGACUGCCAGUGAUAAACUGGAGGAAGGUGGGGAUGACGUCAAGUCAUCAUGGCCCUUACGAGUAGGGCUACACACGUGCUACAAUGGCAUAUACAAAGAGAAGCGACCUCGCGAGAGCAAGCGGACCUCAUAAAGUAUGUCGUAGUCCGGAUUGGAGUCUGCAACUCGACUCCAUGAAGUCGGAAACGCUAGUAAUCGUAGAUCAGAAUGCUACGGUGAAUACGUUCCCGGGCCUUGUACACACCGCCCGUCACACCAUGGGAGUGGGUUGCAAAAGAAGUAGGUAGCUUAACCUUCGGGAGGGCGCUUACCACUUUGUGAUUCAUGACUGGGGUG